UCUCCCCUUUUAGGAGCAGUCUCGCUAGACAGAAUAACUAGCGACGAGGGUUGCGCUCGUUGCGGGACUUAACCCAACACCUCACGGCACGAGCUGACAACAGCCAUGCAACGUCUGUGCAUCUGUCCCGAAGGAAGACCCGCUUUCACGGGCUAUCAGACACAUGUCAAGUCCAGGUAAGGUUCUUCGCUUUGCAUCGAAUUAAACCACACGCUCCGCUGCUUGUGCGGGGACCCGUCAAUUCCUUUGAGUUUUAGCCUUGCGGCCGUACUCCCCAGGCGGGGUACUUAUCGCGUUAGCUUCGGCACGGGAGGGGUCGAUACCCCCCAUACCCAGUACCCAUCGUUUAGGGCGUGGACUAC
rnacentral:misc_RNA from 1 species